GAUGAACGCUGGCGGCGUGCCUAAUACAUGCAAGUCGAGCGAACGCACGAGAAGCUUGCUUUUCUGGUGUUAUCGCCGGACGGGUGAGUCACACGUGGUUAACCUACCUAUCCGACUGGGAUAACUUCUGGAAACCGGAGCUAAUACCGGAUAAUAUUUUGAACCUCAUGGUUCCAGCGUUAAAGACGGUCUUUCUUUCACUUAUAGCUGGAUCCGCGCUGCAUUAGAUAGUUGUUAAGGUAACGGCUUACCAACGCAACGAUGGAUAGCCGACCUGAGAGGGUGAUCGGACACACGGGAACUGAGACAGGGUCCAGACUCCGGAGGGAGGAAGCAGUAGGGAAUCUUCCGGAAGGGGGGAGAGGGGGACGGAGCAACGCGGCGUGAGUGAUGAAGGUGUACGGAUGGGAAAACUAUGUUAGGAGGGAAGAACAUAUGUGUAAGUAACUGUGAAGAUAUUGACGGUACCGAAAGAGAAAGCCACGGCUAACUACGUG
rnacentral:rRNA from 1 species